UACAGAGGGUGCGAGCGUUAAUCGGAAUUACUGGGCGUAAAGGGCGCGUAGGCGGUUAAUUAAGUUAGAUGUGAAAUCCCUGGGCUUAACCUAGGAACUGCAUCUAAGACUGGUUGGCUGGAGUACAGUAGAGGGUAGUGGAAUUUCCGGUGUAGCGGUGAAAUGCGUAGAUAUCGGAAGGAACACCAGUGGCGAAGGCGGCUACCUGGACUGAUACUGACGCUGAGGCGCGAGAGCGUGGGGAGCAAACAGG
rnacentral:rRNA from 1 species